rnacentral:rRNA from 1 species
GUCGAGCGAACGGACGAGAAGCUUGCUUCUCUGAUGUUAGCGGCGGACGGGUGAGUAACACGUGGAUAACCUACCUAUAAGACUGGGAUAACUUCGGGAAACCGGAGCUAAUACCGGAUAAUAUUUUGAACCGCAUGGUUCAAAAGUGAAAGACGGUCUUGCUGUCACUUAUAGAUGGAUCCGCGCUGCAUUAGCUAGUUGGUAAGGUAACGGCUUACCAAGGCAACGAUGCAUAGCCGACCUGAGAGGGUGAUCGGCCACACUGGAACUGAGACACGGUCCAGACUCCUACGGGAGGCAGCAGUAGGGAAUCUUCCGCAAUGGGCGAAAGCCUGACGGAGCAACGCCGCGUGAGUGAUGAAGGGCUUCGGAUCCUAAAACUCUGUUAUUAGGGAAGAACAUAUGUGUUAGUAACUGGGCACAUUUUGACCGGACCUGAUCAAAAAGCCACCGCUAA